UCAGUUCCAGCAGUCAGCCAUAGCUGUCACCAGGCUUUACAAAGAUAGUGUAGACGCGGUUGAGAGAGCAUUUGAACUAGGUCAACAGUACGGAAAAGUCGCCUACAGAAGAGACUUAUCAACAUGGUCUAAGAGGAAGAAAAGAAAGAUUAACAGACUUGAUUUUUUGAAACAACUAGCACGUAAGAACUGUCCCACCACGCCCCUUACAUCUGAUAACGAGAGUGACGAUCUAAGCUGCGUGCUAUCCAGUCUCGGGGUCGCCUCACCCCGCUCCGGUCCAUCUUCUAGCCUGGCAUCCCCACGAAAUACCUACGGGGAGCCAAGCGGGCUGCAGUCUCGGCAGGAGGGACAGAAUGGUAGGCCAAACAGAGAACUUCAGAUGAACAGACAGAGCAGAGAAGGUCAGAACAGCAGACAGCAGUCGCCCUCUCCUCCCUCCACACCACCCCACUCUUCAGCCCCCUCAUAUUACGUCAGUAGGAAACGGAAAGCUGAGAACUUGUUGGACGAGUUUUUAGAAACAGUUCAUAGUUCUAAAAGAAACAGACAAUGAAAUUACUGUGAUCUUAACAAACUCAAAUAGAAAUUGAAGAUUCUAAUUAAUAAUAAAUAGACAUUUAAUUGUAGAAAAUCGAAUCUCGAUUCACAGAUUUAGCUUAAAACUAAAUCUUGAGUUUGUAUUGAAAACAAAUAUGUUAAUUAUCUAAGUUGUUUGAUUGGUUAUUUUUUGAUAUUAAGGUUGAAAACGUCUAAAGAGUUAUGUUAUAUGUAUGAUAGUGCGAUAAGGUUGAUAUUAUACAUAAUAUGGCGAAACUAUUGACUAAUUCAGUUUGUUUUCAUAUGUUAGUCACCCAGUUUUUAUUGAGAAGCUGUUCUAGAAACGUUAUUGAUUAUAAAGUAACAGUAGAAAGUAUAUGAAAUGUUAUUCGGACCGGUUAAUUAAAUUCUAUAUUUGUUUUGAAUGCUGUUGCGAACUCAGAAUUUUGUAAUACAAAUUGUACACUUGGAAAUAAUUGGUUUCCUGCUCUGAAAUUGGAAAUGUAUUAUCA